rnacentral:rRNA from 1 species
AUUGAACGCUGGCGGCAGGCCUAACACAUGCAAGUCGAGCGGAUGAAGGGAGCUUGCUCCUGGAUUCAGCGGCGGACGGGUGAGUAAUGCCUAGGAAUCUGCCUGGUAGUGGGGGAUAACGUCCGGAAACGGGCGCUAAUACCGCAUACGUCCUGAGGGAGAAAGUGGGGGAUCUUCGGACCUCACGCUAUCAGAUGAGCCUAGGUCGGAUUAGCUAGUUGGUGGGGUAAAGGCCUACCAAGGCGACGAUCCGUAACUGGUCUGAGAGGCUGAUCAGUCACACUGGAACUGAGACACGGUCCAGACUCCUACGGGAGGCAGCAGUGGGGAAUAUUGGACAAUGGGCGAAAGCCUGAUCCAGCCAUGCCGCGUGUGUGAAGAAGGUCUUCGGAUUGUAAAGCACUUUAAGCUGGGAGGAAGGGCAGUAAGUUAAUACCUUGCUGUUUUGACGUUACCAACAGAAUAAGCACCGGCUAACUUCGUG